AUUGAACGCUGGCGGCAGGCCUAACACAUGCAAGUCGAGCGGAUGAAGGGAGCUUGCUCCUGGAUUCAGCGGCGGACGGGUGAGUAAUGCCUAGGAAUCUGCCUGGUAGUGGGGGAUAACGUCCGGAAACGGGCGCUAAUACCGCAUACGUCCUGAGGGAGAAAGUGGGGGAUCUUCGGACCUCACGCUAUCAGAUGAGCCUAGGUCGGAUUAGCUAGUUGGUGGGGUAAAGGCCUACCAAGGCGACGAUCCGUAGCUGGUCUGAGAGGAUGAUCAGUCACACUGGAACUGAGACACGGUCCAGACUCCUACGGGAGGCAGCAGUGGGGAAUAUUGGACAAUGGGCGAAAGCCUGAUCCAGCCAUGCCGCGUGUGUGAAGAAGGUCUUCGGAUUGUAAAGCACUUUAAGUCGGGAGGAAGGGCAGUAAGUUAAUACCUUGCUGUUUUGACGUUACCAACAGAAUAAGCACCGGCUAACUUCGUG
rnacentral:rRNA from 1 species